UCUACGUCGAACGAACUCUGGUAUUGAUUGGUGCUUGCAUCAUGAUUUACAUUUGAGUGAGUGGCGAACUGGUGAGUAACACGUGGGAAACCUGCCCAGAAGCGGGGGAUAACACCUGGAAACAGAUGCUAAUACCGCAUAACAACUUGGACCGCAUGGUCCGAGUUUGAAAGAUGGCUUCGGCUAUCACUUUUGGAUGGUCCCGCGGCGUAUUAGCUAGAUGGUGGGGUAACGGCUCACCAUGGCAAUGAUACGUAGCCGACCUGAGAGGGUAAUCGGCCACAUUGGGACUGAGACACGGCCCAAACUCCUACGGGAGGCAGCAGUAGGGAAUCUUCCACAAUGGACGAAAGUCUGAUGGAGCAACGCCGCGUGAGUGAAGAAGGGUUUCGGCUCGUAAAACUCUGUUGUUAAAGAAGAACAUAUCUGAGAGUAACUGUUCAGGUAUUGACGGUAUUUAACCAGAAAGCCACGGCUAACUACGUGCCAGCAGCCGCGGUAAUACGUAGGUGGCAAGCGUUGUCCGGAUUUAUUGGGCGUAAAGCGAGCGCAGGCGGUUUUUUAAGUCUGAUGUGAAAGCCUUCGGCUCAACCGAAGAAGUGCAUCGGAAACUGGGAAACUUGAGUGCAGAAGAGGACAGUGGAACUCCAUGUGUAGCGGUGAAAUGCGUAGAUAUAUGGAAGAACACCAGUGGCGAAGGCGGCUGUCUGGUCUGUAACUGACGCUGAGGCUCGAAAGUAUGGGUAGCAAACAGGAUUAGAUACCCUGGUAGUCCAUACCGUAAACGAUGAAUGCUAAGUGUUGGAGGGUUUCCGCCCUUCAGUGCUGCAGCUAACGCAUUAAGCAUUCCGCCUGGGGAGUACGGCCGCAACGCUGAACUCAAAGGAAUUGACGGUGGGCCCGCACAAGCGGUGGAGCAUGUGGCUUUAAUUCGAAGCUACGCGAAGAAUCUUUACCAGGUCUUGACAUACUAUGCAAAUCUAGAGAUUAGACGUUCCCUUCGGGGACAUGGAUACAGGUGGUGCAUGGUUGUCGUCAGCUCGUGUCGUGAGAUGUUGGGUUAAGUCCCGCAACGAGCGCAACCCUUAUUAUCAGUUGCCAGCAUUAAGUUGGGCACUCUGGUGAGACUGCCGGUGACAAACCGGAGGAAGGUGGGGAUGACGUCAAAUC
rnacentral:rRNA from 1 species